rnacentral:lncRNA from 1 species
GUGUUUCCACUUCUGAAUCGACUUUGCUACUCCUGGUUUCUGGGCUGUCCUGGAUGCCAACUGAACCUUGGUAAUCUCCACCCACAGAUGUCAAAAGGGGGAGUUAUGUGGAAUGGCCCAGCACCACCCAUAGAGCGGCUAGGCAUCAGGCCAUACAUCUGGAACACAGAAUGCCUCCGUGGGGAUGUGGAUGCUCCAGGCUGGGCUACUGCCUUCCCCCAAGCCCUGGGCUUGGCGGCCUCCUUCAGCCCUUCGCUCAUCUACAGGGUGGCCAACGCCACGGCCACGGAGGUCCGGGCCAAACACAACCACUUUGUCUCCAUCGGCAACUACGAGGACCACACCGGCCUCAGCUGCUUCAGCCCCGUGUUGAACAUCAUGCGCCACCCGCUGUGGGGCAGGAACCAGGUGCGAAGGGCUCCAAAAAGAAAAGGAGGAGCCGGGAAUGACCUAAGAGAGCUAAGCAGGAACGGCUUUUGGGGAAUAAUAUGAAAGAGAAAGCACGGAUUUAGCCAUCAUUUCUGGAGGGGCCACUGGGCUGGUUGUCGAGAGGAAAAUGCCAGAGGGCCUAGUGGUUCCCUCUGAAGCCAACAUGAUUUCUUCGGGAUCAUUCCAUGGAUGGCAGCCGGGUUCAGAUAAGAUGCCUGAAGGCGUCCAUGAAAACCUCUGCCCGCUAAAAACAGCCACUCUAUAGGCCACCACAAGAUGCUUUGCUCUUAAGGCAAGCUCUCCAGGCUUGCAAACCUGUUGUGUAUCUUUCUGUUGGCUGGGGUUGUCUGCAUUGCAGAGUUCUGAAAUUUCGGCUUCAGUUUCCUCGGGCGGACGUGUGAACCUGGUCCUCAUCCCGGGGGAAGAAAAAAGGAAGGAAGGUAUUUCCAGUUGCGAAGCAGAAGGAGAAGGCAAAGCAGACCAAAGAUUAAGCAAUGUCUCUGUCUGACCCUCUGUCCCCAUAGGAGACUUAUGGGGAGGACCCAUUCCUGACCGCAGAGCUGGGGGUGGCUUUCGUGAAGGGCCUGCAGGGCGACCACCCUCGUUACGUCAAGGCCAGCGCUGGCUGCAAGCAUUUCGAUGUCCACGGUGGCCCCGAAAAUAUCCCCACCUCCCGGUUGUCCUUUGAUGCCAAGGUCAGUGGAAGUCAGAGGGGCUUGUGUGUGUGAGUGUGUGGGUGGGUGUAUGGAAAUGGAGAUGGCCAUAGGCGAGGAAAUGUAGAACUGCCGAGCUGGAAGGGGCCGUGGGUCAU